GUGAGGAAUAUUGGUCAAUGGACGGAAGUCUGAACCAGCCAUGCCGCGUGAAGGAUGAAGGCGUUCUGCGUUGUAAACUUCUUUUAUCAGAGAAGAAACCACUGAUUUCUAUUAGUGUUGACGGUAUCUGAUGAAUAAGCACCGGCUAACUCCGUGCCAGCAGCCGCGGUAAUACGGAGGGUGCAAGCGUUAUCCGGAUUUACUGGGUUUAAAGGGUGUGUAGGCGGGCUAUUAAGUCAGGGGUGAAAUCCCGGGGCGCAACCUCGGAACUGCCUUUGAUACUAUUAGUCUUGAAUUAUGUUGAGGUUGGCGGAAUAUAACAUGUAGCGGUGAAAUGCAUAGAUAUGUUAUAGAACACCGAUUGCGAAGGCAGCUGGCUAAACAUAUAUUGACGCUGAGGCACGAAAGCGUGGGUAGCGAACAGGAUUAGAUACCCUAGUAGUCC
rnacentral:rRNA from 1 species